rnacentral:rRNA from 1 species
AACGAACGCUGGCGGCGUGCCUAACACAUGCAAGUCGAACGAGACCGUCGGGUCUAGUGGCGCACGGGGGCGUAAGGAGUGGGAAGCUACCCUUAGGUUCGGAAUAACUCCCCGAAGGGGGUGCUAAUACCGGAUAAUGUCUUCGGACCAAGGAGUUAUCGCUUUUGGGUGGGCGCGGGUUGGAUUAGCUGGUUGGUAGGGUAAAAGCCUACCAAGGCGACGAUGCAUAGCUGGUCUGGGAGGAUGACCAGCCACAAUGGGACUGAGACACGGCCCAGACUCCUACGGGAGGCAGCAGUGGGGUAUAUUGGACAAUGGGCGAAAGCCUGAUCCAGCAAUGCCGCGUGAGUGAUGAAGGCCUUAGGAUUGUAAAGCUCUUUUACCCGGGAUGAGAAUGACAGUACCGGGAGAAUAAGCUCCGGCUAACUCCGUG